rnacentral:rRNA from 1 species
UACCCUUUUUUUAAGGGAUAGGGUCGGUUCGGCCGGAUUUUACACAAGUGUUGCAUGGCUGUCGUCAGCUCGUGUCGUGAGAUGUUGGGUUAAGUCCCGCAACGAGCGCAACCCUCAUCCUUAGUUGCUAUCAGGUAAUGCUGAGUACUUUAAGGAAACUGCCAGUGAUAAGCUGGAGGAAGGUGGGGAUGAUGUCAAGUCAUCAUGGCCUUUAUGGAGUGGGCUACACACGUGCUACAAUGGUGUCUACAAUGGGCUGCAAGGUGCGCAAGCCUAAGCUAAUCCCUAAAAGACAUCUCAGUUCGGAUUGUACUCUGCAACUCGAGUACAUGAAGUUGGAAUCGCUAGUAAUCGUGGAUCAGCAUGCCACGGUGAAUACGUUCUCGGGUCUUGUACACACUGCCCGUCACGCCAUGGGAAUUGGUUCCUCCGAGCUGUAU